rnacentral:rRNA from 1 species
GAUGAACGCUGGCGGCGUGCCUAAUACAUGCAAGUCGAGCGAACGGACGAGAAGCUUGCUUCUCUGAUGUUAGCGGCGGACGGGUGAGUAACACGUGGAUAACCUACCUAUAAGACUGGGAUAACUUCGGGAAACCGGAGCUAAUACCGGAUAAUAUUUUGAACCGCAUGGUUCAAAAGUGAAAGACGGUCUUGCUGUCACUUAUAGAUGGAUCCGCGCUGCAUUAGCUAGUUGGUAAGGUAACGGCUUACCAAGGCAACGAUGCAUAGCCGACCUGAGAGGGUGAUCGGCCACACUGGAACUGAGACACGGUCCAGACUCCUACGGGAGGCAGCAGUAGGGAAUCUUCCGCAAUGGGCGAAAGCCUGACGGAGCAACGCCGCGCGAGUGAUGAAGGUCUUCGGAUCGUAAAACUCUGUUAUUAGGGAAGAACAUAUGUGUAAGUAACUGUGCACAUCUUGACGGUACCUAAUCAGAAAGCCACGGCUAACUACGUGCCAGCAGCCGCGGUAAUACGUAGGUGGCAAGCGUUAUCCGGAAUUAUUGGGCGUAAAGCGCGCGUAGGCGGUUUUUUAAGUCUGAUGUGAAAGCCCACGGCUCAACCGUGGAGGGUCAUUGGAAACUGGAAAACUUGAGUGCAGAAGAGGAAAGUGGAAUUCCAUGUGUAGCGGUGAAAUGCGCAGAGAUAUGGAGGAACACCAGUGGCGAAGGCGACUUUCUGGUCUGUAACUGACGCUGAUGUGCGAAAGCGUGGGGAUCAAACAGGAUUAGAUACCCUGGUAGUCCACGCCGUAAACGAUGAGUGCUAAGUGUUAGGGGGUUUCCGCCCCUUAGUGCUGCAGCUAACGCAUUAAGCACUCCGCCUGGGGAGUACGACCGCAAGGUUGAAACUCAAAGGAGUUGACGGGGACCCGCACAAGCGGUGGAGCAUGUGGUUUAAUUCGAAGCAACGCGAAGAACCUUACCAAAUCUUGACAUCCUUUGACAACUCUAGAGAUAGAGCCUUCCCCUUCGGGGGACAAAGUGACAGGUGGUGCAUGGUUGUCGUCAGCUCGUGUCGUGAGAUGUUGGGUUAAGUCCCGCAACGAGCGCAACCCUUAAGCUUAGUUGCCAUCAUUAAGUUGGGCACUCUAAGUUGACUGCCGGUGACAAACCGGAGGAAGGGGGGGAUGACGUCAAAUCAUCAUGCCCCUUAUGAUUUGGGCUACACACGUGCUACAAUGGACAAUACAAAGGGCAGCGAAACCGCGAGGUCAAGCAAAUCCCAUAAAGUUGUUCUCAGUUCGGAUUGUAGUCUGCAACUCGACUACAUGAAGCUGGAAUCGCUAGUAAUCGUAGAUCAGCAUGCUACGGUGAAUACGUUCCCGGGUCU